GCUGCCUUAGCUCAGUCGGUAGAGCACUUCCUUGGUAAGGAAGAGGUCGGCGGUUCAAGUCCGCUAGGCAGCUCCA
rnacentral:tRNA from 1 species